rnacentral:sRNA from 1 species
UUUGUGAGCUUCCAGAAGAAACCUCAGAGCUCUUGUUGCUAAUCUCUCCUUUCCCAGGCCAUAUCUUCUCAAAGAUCCUCCUUGACCUCGACGGCAUCAGCUGUGCACCACCACCACUCCUCGUGCUCUUGCUUCCUCUGCUUUUCUUGCUCAGCUCCACCUUCUUCGUCGCUUCUUCUCCUUUGUUCUCCUCCGUCUUCUCAACC